rnacentral:sRNA from 1 species
AAGCAAGAUCCGAUGAUUACAGAGGGUCGAGUAUAGGGUGCUUAUACAUACUAGCACCUGCCAAGGCCCCCGACAUCUAGGGGGCCACCCCAACAACAGGGAAUGAUUUUAAAAACCAUCCGAUUGGCUGCCUCAUCAGAGGGGUAGUAGCAAGCCAAGCAGGACACCCUGGUAGGCGCCCUAUUCAGAGCCCACUAGUGGUCAUCUAACACUAUUAGUGGGUUAUCAUCAGGUGGGGUAAGCCUAUGGUUAGUCCCUUACACGGGGCAAGGCCACGACGGCUGGUUGGUAGGCCAAGGGGGCAAUGGGCCGAGAUCGGCAACUGGAAGCUCUGGGCUAUGGUGAUGCCUAGGGUGGGCAGUGGCGCUUAACUAGGACCCCCGCUGGAAACCCCAGAACUAGUUAAAGCGGCCCGAGAGGACGGACGCGGUGGUCGGUUGGUUAUAGAGGUUAUAAUAUGUAACUAGCUUAAGGUGCAUCCUGCGUGGAAUAGCCACGUAGUCUGCUUUCAAAGAAUUGUAACAUGGGCU